UUCGGGAAGCUGUAGGGGGACGCAGGAAGGUAGAUGAACCCGGUGAAUGGUAGAACCGGGGUAAGCGUGUAGGAGGAGGACCAGGUAAAUCCGGGCCUCAUAAACUCUGAGACGUGAUACCGAGCCGCUUCAGGCGAAGUCAUUGAUCCUAUGCUGCCUAGAAAAGCCCAGCAGCGAGUUGACAUGGUGCCCGUACCCCAAACCAACACAGGUGGACAGGUAGAGCAUACCAAGGCGAGUGGGAUAACUAUGGUUAAGGAACUCGGCAAAUUGCCUCCGUAACUUCGGGAGAAGGAGGACCCCAGUAGCGUGAUGAGACUUGCUCUCUGAGCGUGAAGGGGUGGCACAAAAUUGAGGGAAGCGACUGUUUACCAAAAACACAGCAGCGUGCUAAGCCGUAAGGCGCUGUAUACGCUGUGACUCCUGCCCGGUGCUGGAAGGUUACGGGGAUGGGUUAGUCCUUCGGGACGAAGCUCUGAACCUAAGCCCCAGUAAACGGCGGCCGUAACUAUAACGGUCCUGAGGUAGCGAAAUUCCUUGUCGGGUAAGUUCCGACCUGCACGAAUGGAGUAAUGACUUCCCUACUGUCUCAACCAUAGACCCAGCGAAAUUGAAGUACGAGUAAAGAUGCUCGUUAGCUGCAGAAGGACGGAAAGACCCCGUGGACCUUUACUAUAACUUGAUGUUGUGUUUUGUCAUAUGUUGUGUAGGAUAGGUGGGAGACUUGGAAGCAUGGACGCUAGUCUGUGUGGAGUCAUCGUUGAAAUACCACCCUGCAUAUGGUGAGGCUCUAACCUAGACCCGUUAUCCGGGUUGGGGACAGCGUCAGGCGGGUAGUUUAACUGGGGCGGUUGCCUCCUAAAGAGUAACGGAGGCGCCCAAAGGUUCCCUCAGCCUGGUUGGCAAUCAGGCGUUGAGUGCAAUGGCAAAAGGGAGCUUGACUGCGAGACCUACAAGUCGAGCAGGAGCGAAAGCUGGGCAUAGUGAUCCGGCGGUUGCGUGUGGAAGCGCCGUCGCUCAACGGAUAAAAGGUACCCCGGGGAUAACAGGCUAAUCUUGCCCAAGCGUCCAUAGCGACGGCAAGGUUUGGCACCUCGAUGUCGGCUCAUCGCAUCCUGGGGCUGAAGCAGGUCCCAAGGGUUGGGCUGUUCGCCCAUUAAAGCGGUACGCGAGCUGGGUUCAGAACGUCGUGAGACAGUUCGGUCCCUAUCCUCUGCAGCCGGAGGUGAAUUGAGGAAAGCUGUCCCUAGUACGAGAGGACCGGGACGGACGCAGCUCUCGUGUGCCAGUUGUCCUGCCAAGGGCAUGGCUGGUUAGCGACCUGCGGAAAGGAUAACCGCUGAAAGCAUCUAAGCGGGAAGCCUCUUCCAAGAUGAAUUCACCCACGGGGUUAACCUGGUAAGGCCCGUGGUAGACCACCACGUUGAUAGGCCGGAAGUGUAAGCGUGGCAACACGUUCAGCUGACCGGUACUAAUCGG
rnacentral:rRNA from 1 species